rnacentral:rRNA from 1 species
UACGAGAGCCCCGAGCGUUAUCCGGAAUUAUUGGGCGUAAAGGGUGCGUAGGCGGCUGUGUUAGUCGAGUGUUAAAGGCCCGGGCUUAACUCGGGAAAUGCAUUCGAAACGGCAUAGCUUAGAAUGAAGGAGAGGUGUGCGGAACUCAUGGUGUAGGGGUGAAAUCCGUUGAUAUCAUGGGGAACACCAAAUGCGAAAGCAGCACACUGGCCUUUUAUUGACGCUGAGGCACGAAAGCGUGGGUAGCGAAUGGG